GCCUAUAACCACGUUUUUUAGACAACGUUUUUUUGAAAAACGCUGCAGAAGACAUAAAGACACGCGUGUUCCACUUUAUAACGGUGCUCCGUUUUCCCUCUGUCCCCAUUUCACUUUCCGUCAUUUUGUUUUCUCUCUCCAUUUCUCUCUAUCGUUUUCUCUCUCCAUCCUAGAUCUAGGGUUUUCUCUGUCUCCUCAGGCUCCUUGAGAGAUUCACCAGGAGGAAGAUGGUUCGAUUGAGUUGCACAAAUCAGUGGGGUUACGAGACCGCGGAGUGAAGAAGGAUGAAGAUCAUCGGGAUUGAGACAGGGACUGGGACCGAGACCGAGACCGAUCGAGUCGGAGCAAGAGAAAUGAUAGGUUUUCUGCUCCAAGAAAAGCUGGAGCAGUUUUAGCUUCGAUGAAGAGGUCACAUGGCGUUGGAUGCGCUCUGCCUAUUGAAGCUCCUCCUCAGGUCUGGUCCUCCCAUCGCUACCGUCCUUCAGGUCCUCUCUCUCUCUGUAGUGGAGGACAGAGAAUCGCGAGCUUUAGGUUUUCUUCAGAUUCUACACAGCAAUGGAGACUCCUGUGAAGUCCUUCAAUCCAAACAAGCACUUAAAAGAACAAUUUGUGAGCAAUUUGAUUGGAUCUUCCAUGCUUGAAGUCAUUGCUCUUGCGACUGUUGUACCUGCUCUGAUUCUUCUGCGAGAUUGUUUCUGAUCCGCUGACAAACAAGGUAAAUCACACUGAUGAAUUCUUUGAAUUUGGUAAUUAUUUCUCAUCUUUCUGUAUGUUUGGAAAAAUAUUUUCAGAUUAGUGGUAAACUUUACAAACACUUAACAAGUAUAAUCAUAAACUUUUUUUCAUGAAUUUGUAAUUAAUUUUUUAAAAUACCUCGACAUGUGACUUCCCCUAAUUUUUUGUACUAUCUAAUCUAUUUCUUUUCAAUAAGUUGGCAUGCAUUUAAGUUUGUGAUGGGGAGGUGGUUAAUUCUUAGGUUUUUAUCAAGGAUCAAAAUUUUGUUUCAGAAUGUUGUUUUGGUCUUGGAAAAGGAAACAUUUUGGU